AAUCAAGCGCGAGAAGGGCGUUUGGUGAAUGCCUUGGCAGUAAGAGGCGAUGAAGGACGUGAUACUCUGCGAUAAGCGUAGGUGAGCCGAGAAUAGGCUUUGAUCCUGCGAUUUCCGAAUGGGGAAACCCACCUGACAGUUUGUUAUUGUUACCUUACGGUAUCAAUAAUGGAUUGAAACAGGUACUUAAUACCUGAAUACAUAGGGUUUUAAGAGCAAACCCGGGGAACUGAAACAUCUAAGUACCCGGAGGAAAGGACAUCAAUAGAGACUCUGUUAGUAGCGGCGAGCGAACGCGGACCAGCCGAGGUCUGAGAGUGACCAAAACAAUUUGGAAUGAUUGACCAUAGUGGGUGAUAGUCCCGUAUGGGAAGCUCGAUGACACGUAUUAAGUAGGGCGGGACACGUGAAAUCCUGUCUGAAGAUCGGAGGACCACCUCCGAAGGCUAAGUACUCCUUACUGACCGAUAGUGAACCAGUACCGUGAGGGAAAGGUGAAAAGCACCCCGACGAGGGGAGUGAAACAGUACCUGAAACCGAACGCCUACAAUCAGUUGGAGGGGCCUUGAGCCCUGACAGCGUACCUUUUGUAUAAUGGGUCAUCGACUUGGUCUAUCUAGCAAGCUUAAGCCGUUAGGUGUAGGCGCAGCGAAAGCGAGUCUUAAUAGGGCGAAUGAGUUAGAUGGAUCAGACCCGAAACCGAGUGAUCUAGGCAUGGCCAGGCUGAAGAUAAGGUAACACUUAUUGGAGGGCCGAACCCACAUCCGUUGAAAAGGAUCGGGAUGAGCUGUGCCUAGGGGUGAAAGGCCAAUCAAACUCGGAGAUAGCUGGUUCUCCGCGAAAUCUAUUUAGGUAGAGCGUCAUCCGAAUACCCCGGGGGGUAGAGCACUGGAUGGGUAAUGGGGCCCCACAGGCUUACUGAUCCUAACCAAACUCCGAAUACCCGGGAGUACUAGAUGGCAGACACACUGCGGGUGCUAACGCCCGUAGUGGAGAGGGAAACAACCCUAACCUCCAGCUAAGGCCCCUAAUUCAUGGCUAAGUGGGAAAGCAGGUGAGACGGCCAAAACAACCAGGAGGUUGGCUUAGAAGCAGCCAUCCUUUAAAGAUAGCGUAACAGCUCACUGGUCUAAAUAAGCUGUCUUGCGGCGAAGAUGUAACGGGGCUCAAGCCAUGAGCCGAAGCUGAGGACAUCGUAAGAUGUGGUAGCGGAGCGUAGUGUGAUAUAGCACCACUCCUCUUUGGUAUCCCGUGAGGGAUGCAUUAGAGGAAUAGGUGUUUUCUGUGAAGCCGGGCUGUAAGGCAUCCGGUGGAGAGAUCACUAGUGAGAAUGAUGACAUGAGUAGCGACAAAGAGUGUGAGAGACACUCUCGCCGAAAAUCCAAGGGUUCCUGCUUAAAGCUAAUCUGAGCAGGGUAAGCCGGCCCCUAAGUCGAGGCAGAAAUGCGUAGACGAUGGGAACCAGGUUAAUAUUCCUGGGCCAGGAGGAUGUGACGGAUCGUGAAGGUAGUUCAAUCUUAUUGGAUUGAUUGAGCUGCUGAUCGGUUCCUGGAAAUAGCCCUCCAUCAGACCGUACCCUAAACCGACACAGGUGGAUAGGUAGAGCAUACCAAGGCGCUUGAGAGAACUAUGUUGAAGGAACUCGGCAAAAUACCUCCGUAAGUUCGCGAGAAGGAGGCCCAGUUUCUACGCAAGUAUUGGCUGGGGGCACAAACCAGGGGGUGGCGACUGUUUACUAAAAACACAGGGCUCUGCGAAGUCGCAAGACGACGUAUAGGGUCUGACGCCUGCCCGGUGCCUGAAGGUUAAAAGGAGGGGUGAGAGCUCCGAAUUGAAGCCCAGGUAAACGGCGGCCGUAACUAUAACGGUCCUAAGGUAGCGAAAUUCCUUGUCGGGUAAGUUCCGACCUGCACGAAUGGCGUAACGACUUCCCCGCUGUCUCCAACAUAGACUCAGCGAAAUUGAAUUGCCUGUCAAGAUGCAGGCUUCCCGCGGUUAGACGGAAAGACCCCGUGCACCUUCACUACAGCUUCGCACUGGCAUCAGGCACAACAUGUGCAGGAUAGGUGGUGGGCUUUGAAGCAGGGACGCCAGUUCCUGUGGAGCCUCCCUUGAGAUACCACCCUUGUUCUGCUUGAUGUCUAACCGCGGUCCGUUAUCCGGAUCCGGGACCCUGCGUGGCGGGUAGUUUGACUGGGGCGGUCGCCUCCUAAAGAGUAACGGAGGCGCGCGAAGGUUGGCUCAGAGCGGUCGGAAAUCGCUCGUUGAGUGCAAUGGCAUAAGCCAGCCUGACUGCGAGACUGACAAGUCGAGCAGAGACGAAAGUCGGCCAUAGUGAUCCGGUGGUCCCAAGUGGGAGGGCCAUCGCUCAACGGAUAAAAGGUACGCCGGGGAUAACAGGCUGAUACUGCCCAAGAGUCCAUAUCGACGGCAGUGUUUGGCACCUCGAUGUCGGCUCAUCUCAUCCUGGGGCUGGAGCAGGUCCCAAGGGUAUGGCUGUUCGCCAUUUAAAGAGGUACGUGAGCUGGGUUUAGAACGUCGUGAGACAGUUCGGUCCCUAUCUGCCGUGGGUGUAGGAUACUUGAGAGGAGUUGCCCCUAGUACGAGAGGACCGGGGUGAACGAUCCACUGGUGGACCUGUUGUUGCGCCAGCAGCAGUGCAGGGUAGCUAUGAUCGGACAGGAUAACCGCUGAAGGCAUCUAAGCGGGAAGCCCCCCUCAAAACAAGGUAUCCCUGAGGGCCGUGGAAGACCACCACGUCGAUAGGCCGGAGAUGUAAGCAUGGUAACAUGUUCAGUUGACCGGUACUAAUUGCCCGAUAGGCUUGAUUUG
rnacentral:rRNA from 1 species